rnacentral:misc_RNA from 1 species
UAAGGAAGAACUUUAAUGGAAACGCUCAUCUGAUGAGCCUCUGCCUUUUAGUUCUCUUGGAACAAGACGGAAGAGAGUCACUCUUACCGUCGCGCAUACCUUAAGCGGGUCUGCCGCUUUCGUUUCUCUUUCUUCAGCGAAUGACUUUGAUUGCGCUCGCGCGCCGUGUCGCACCCUUCGGGUGCUGGCGCUCCGCGAGGGCGCGGCACGAGCCGCGACGGCCGGUCGGCCUAGCGAGGCUCUGCCUCGAAGCCGGCUAGCAUCUGCGCUUGGAGCUUAGGGCUUGUAGCUCAGUUGGUUAGAGCGCGCGCUUGAUAAGCGUGAGGUCGGAGGUUCAAGUCCUCCCAGGCCCACCAUCUCUGAGAUGGAAGGUAGCUUCCUAUCUCCCUCUACAUCACUUCGAAGAGGUAAUAAGGGGCCGUAGCUCAGCUGGGAGAGCGCCUGCUUUGCAAGCAGGAUGUCGUCGGUUCGAUCCCGUCCGGCUCCACCACUACCUUGGUGUUGAGUAGAGAUGAGGCCGUGAGGCAAAAGUCAUUCGUAUAAAGUUUGCGGCGAACCUUAUGGUUCUCCGCCUGUUCUGUUUGACAUCGUAAAGAGAAGAUUUGUUCGAACUUCAUGAGCCGAAAGGGUCGUGAUUUGUCGCGGGAGACGCUCAAUCUCCCGCAUAUGAUGGGUUUGCCUAACCGCGCCCUCGAACCGAUCUCGAGAAGCUGGUCUUUUUGUGCCAAUUCCAUUGAAGCGAGAUCCCGCACAGGAUCUGGCUCGAGCGACGAUCCUUUCGGGAUCGCGCAGGUGGGUAUUGGCAAUGAGAACGAUCAAGUGUCUUAAGGGCAAUUGGUGGAUGCCUUGGCAUGCACAGGCGAUGAAGGACGUGAUACGCUGCGAUAAGCUACGGGGAGGUGCGAAA